rnacentral:rRNA from 1 species
UGGGGAAUAUUGCACAAUGGGCGCAAGCCUGAUGCAGCAACGCCGCGUGAACGAUGAAGGUCUUCGGAUCGUAAAGUUCUGGUGCAGGGGAAGAUAAUGACGGUACCCAGUGAGGAAGCCCCGGCUAACUACGUGCCAGCAGCCGCGGUAAUACGUAGGGGGCUAGCGUUAUCCGGAGUUACUGGGCGUAAAGGGUGCGUAGGUGGUCUUUCAAGUCGGUGGUUAAAGGCUACGGCUCAACCGUAGUUAGCCUCCGAAACUGGAAGACUUGAGUGCAGGAGAGGAAAGCGGAAUUCCCAGUGUAGCGGUGAAAUGCGUAGAUAUUGGGAGGACCACCAGUGGCGAAGGCGGCUUUCUGGACUGCAACUGACACUGAGGCACGAAAGCGUGGGUAGCAAACAGG